GACGAACGCUGGCGGCGUGCCUAAUACAUGCAAGUCGAGCGGACUGAAUGGGAGCUUGCUCUUGUUCGGUCAGCGGCGGACGGGUGAGUAACACGUGGGCAACCUGCCCGCAAGACCGGGAUAACUCCGGGAAACCGGAGCUAAUACCGGAUAACACCGAAGACCGCAUGGUCUUUGGUUGAAAGGCGGCGCAAGCUGCCACUUGCGGAUGGGCCCGCGGCGCAUUAGCUAGUUGGUGAGGUAACGGCUCACCAAGGCGACGAUGCGUAGCCGGCCAGAGAGCGUGGGGGGCCAGCCGGGGGCUGACAGCCGGGCAGGCCGCCUACGGGAGGCAGCAGCACGGCAUGAUCCGCAAUGGCCGACAGCCGGACGGGGCGUUGUGGGGGGAGCGAAGGAGGGCUUCGGGACGUGGGGCGCGGUGGGGAGGGACGAAGGGGCGCCGUUUGAAGAAACCGGGUCGCAGACGGGACCUUACGAGGAAGCACCGGCUCUCUAGGUG
rnacentral:rRNA from 1 species